GCCGCAGUCCCGCCCGCCGGGCGAGCCACGCCCACAGGCGGAGCCGCAUCCAUUGAGCGCAGGCUCCAGACGGAGAAGCCACGCCCACCGAGCGAGCCACGCCCACCGAGGUGUCCUGGAAAGGAUGGAGCUUUCCGCCUUCAAAUGAAACCUGGACUCGGAUAUUGAGCACCUCAGCAGCGGCUGUGAUGGACUGAAGACUAGAGAAAGUUUGCAUUUCCUGGGUCCUGGAAAAGUCAUGAAGAGUCAUUGUAGAAAUUUGGAAAAUUCAGAAAAGUGGAGAAGAAAAGGAACAACCAGCAGUUGUUGCAUUCUGAUCGAACUCAACAUCAUCUUUCUUUCAUCUGGAUAAUCGUCACAGCUUUCUGACUGGUUCCCCCGCUUUGAGCUCUACUUAUCCCAGCAGCCGGGGGAUCCUGCUUUUAAAACGUUCAUCAGCUCAAAAGCUCCAGUCUUCCCCACGUCACCCGGAAUAAAAGCCAAAGUACUGACAGUGACUGUGAAACCCCAUGUGCACCCUCCAACCCCCUACUGCUUUCUUACUGCUCUGUAAUCAUGCCAGGUGUGCUCUUGCUUCUCGACCCUUCUGCCUGGAGCUCUCUGGUCCUAAACAUGUGCAAUGCUCCUCCCUCAGCCGUUUCUAGUCUUCUCUCAAAUGUCGUCUUCUCAGUGAGGGCUUCCGUAACUGCCUCUGUAAACCACGUGUCUUGCUACAUCCCUGCCCCCCAUCUCUGCUAUCCCAUUGUCCCCAUGCAGCGUACCGUAUGGUUUCCUUAUUUUGUGUGUUAUCUGUCUUUUGCUGCUAGAAUGUAAGUUCCAUCAAGGCAGAGGUUUUUAUCUGGUUUUGCUCGCUGCUAUAUUUGUUUUCUAAUACAUAAUAAAUCACCCCAAUGUUUAGUUACUCAAAA